GCCUACGGGGGGCAGCAGUAGGGAAUCUUCCACAAUGGGCGAAAGCCUGAUGGAGCAAUGCCGCGUGGGUGAAGAAGGUCUUCGGGUCGUAAAACUCUGUUGUUGGAGAAGAAAGUGCGUGAGAGUAACUGUUCACGUUUCGACGGUAUCUAACCAGAAAGCCACGGCUAACUACGUGCCAGCAGCCGCGGUAAUACGUAGGUGGCAAGCGUUAUCCGGAUUUAUUGGGCGUAAAGAGAACGCAGGCGGUCUUUUAAGUCUGAUGUGAAAGCCUUCGGCUUAACCGGAGUAGUGCAUUGGAAACU
rnacentral:rRNA from 1 species